UGGGGAAUAUUGCACAAUGGAGGGAACUCUGAUGCAGCGACGCCGCGUGAACGAAGAAGGCUUUCGAGUCGUAAAGUUCUUUUAUAUGGGAAGAUAAUGACGGUACCAUAAGAAGAAGCCCCGGCUAACUACGUUCCAGCAGCCGCAGUAAUACGUAGGGGGCUAGCGUUGUCCGGAAUCACUGGGCGUAAAGGGUUCGCAGGCGGAAAUGCAAGUCAGGUGUAAAAGGCAGUAGCUUAACUACUGUAAGCAUUUGAAACUGCAUAUCUUGAGAAGAGUAGAGGUAAGUGGAAGUGUUAGUGUAGCGGUGAAAUGAGUAGAUAUUAAAAAGAAUACCGGUGGCGAAGGCGACUUACUGGGCUCAUUCUGACGCUGAGGAACGAAAGCGUGGGUAGCAAACAGG
rnacentral:rRNA from 1 species